rnacentral:tRNA from 1 species
GGAAGAGUGACGGUCCCGGUGGGCUGCGCGGCCUUCAAAGCCGUUGGGCCGCUGACGAAGCGGUCGGCGGGUUCGACUCCUGCCUCUUCCGCCA